CGCGGCCUAUCAGCUUGUUGGUGAGGUAAUGGCUCACCAAGGCAACGACGGGUAGCCGGCCUGAGAGGGCGACCGGCCACACUGGGACUGAGACACGGCCCAGACUCCUACGGGAGGCAGCAGUGGGGAAUAUUGGGCAAUGGAGGAAACUCUGACCCAGCGACGCCGCGUGAGGGAUGAAGGCCUUCGGGUUGUAAACCUCUUUCAGCAGGGAAUAAGCGAAAGUGAAGGUACCUGCAGAAGAAGCACCGGCUAACUAUGUGCCAGCAGCCGCGGUAAUACAUAGGGUGCAAGCGUUGUCCGGAAUUAUUGGGCGUAAAGAGCUCGUAGGUGGUCGAUCACGUCGGAUGUGAAAAUCUGAGGCUUAACCUCAGACCUGCAUUCGAUACGGGUUGACUAGAGUGUGGUAGGGGAGACUGGAAUUCCUGGUGUAGCGGAGGAAUGCGCAGAUAUCAGGAGGAACACCGAUGGCGAAGGCAGGUCUCUGGGCCAUUACUGACACUGAGGAGCGAAAGCGUGGGGAGCGAACAGGAUUAGAUACCCUGGUAGUCCACGCCGUAAACGGUGGGCGCUAGUUGUGGGAACCUUCCACGGUUUCUGCGACGCAGCUAACGCAUUAAGCGCCCCGCCUGGGGAGUACGG
rnacentral:rRNA from 1 species